rnacentral:tRNA from 1 species
CGCGGAGUGGUAGCAGUUGGUAGCUCGCCAGGCUCAUAACCUGGAGGUCAUUGGUUCGAGUCCAAUCUCCGCAA